ACACCACAACACAAUCCUCACUCACAUAGAGUUGAGAGAAAAAUAGAGAGUUCCUCAUAAGAGUGUGAGAGAAAAAUAUAGUGAGCCAAUUUGUGAGAGUUGUAUCUACAAAUUGAGAUACAUAGUUAGGUCCACCUGAGGGUGAAGAUUUGUAUUCCCAUUAUUAUUAUAGUGGAGAUUUAAGAGGCCUACGGGUCCCGUGGUUUUUCCUUACUCACAUUGAGAAGGUUUUCCACGCUAAAAUUUUGUUGUGUCAUUUUACGUUUCCGCUAAAGUGCCUAUUUUGAGUUCACGGAGGAGGGAAAUUAUGCAGGCAUUUCCCAACAGUGGUAUCAGAGCACUCGUUGCUCUGGGACUAUGAGUUUUCGUAUAUGCAAGAUAAUUCUUAAUAUGCUCUGUGGCUGCAACAUUGUUUGAUCUUCCACAUCAGAAAAGAAAUUUCUUGUCGCUAGAAAUAAAGUGAGGUAGUGAUAUAUUGCAUGUCUAGGAGUUCUGGCAAGGAAAGACUUGGUAUUUAAGCGUGUCUAUUGACCCACCUUUCUUACCUGGGAACUUUCAUGGUGCACUAUUCACGAACUCAUAUUUAUUCUAGUAUACGAUACUAGUCACACUUGUUAAAGAAAUUAUUUCCUGUGUAACUCAAGAUGGAGGGUGCAAUCAGCCAUGAUGGUGAUAUGUUCAAGCUAACUGCUGACAAUUACACAUAUUGGAAGCCAAUGAUGGAAGACCACUUGUAUUGCAAAGACUUUCAUGAGCCAAUCACCCAAAAAGAUAAACCCUAGAAGAAGACCGCUACGGAAUGGGAGACGGAGAAUCGAAAAACAGUGGCUAUGAUCCGAAAAUACAUUGAUCGAAGCUUGUUCGAGCAUGUAUCAACUGAUACCAAUGCGUAUGAGUUAUGGACGAAGCUUGAAUCAUUGAUUCAAAAGAAGACGCCGAGAAAUAAAGCACACCUUGUUAGAAGACUGGUGAAGUUAGAGUACUCAGACGGUCAAAAUAUGAUCGAGCAUUUAAACACCUUCAAAGGUAUUGUAAAUCAGUUGACAAAAACAGAAAUGAAGAUAGAUGACGAGUUGCAAACACUUCUACUUCUCAGUUCCUUACCUGAGAGUUGGGACACUUUAGUUGUCACUCUCAGCAAUUCUGCUCCAGAUGGAAAACUUAGCAUGGAUUCAGUCACUGACUGCCUGUUAAAUGAAGAGUCAAGACGAAGGGAAAGAGGCUUGAACAAUUAGUUCGAAGCCAACGUCAUUGACAACAGAGGAAGGAGCAAGAACCGUGAAAAAGGUGGUCGUGAAAAAUCACGAGGCAGAUCAAAGACUCGCACUAAACUAAGUUGUUAUUACUGUGGAAAACCAGGCCAUAGAAAGUUUGAGUGCAGAUUCUUCAAGAGAGAUCAGCAGGCUGGAACGAUCCAUCCCGAUAUAAUCGAUUCAAAGAAGAAAGAAGAAGGAACCACGACAGCAGUCGUAGCAACUAACGAGAAUUUCUUUCUCGUUGAAGAUGAAAAUUAUCUAAAUGUAGCGUCUGAUGACUGCAUUUGGAUAAUUGACUCAGGAGCAUCCUUUCAUGUAACCCCUCAUGAAGAAUUUUUCUCAUCAUAUCAAAAAGGAGACUUUGGUAUGGUGAAGAUGGGCAAUCAUGUCACAAGCAAGAUUGUUGGCAUUGGCGAGGUGACUCUGGCUACAGAUAAUGGCUCUAAGCUCGUGUUGAAGGAGGUUAGACAUGUUCCAGACAUGCGUCUAAAUCUUAUCUCGACAGGAAAAUUAGAUGAUAUUGGUAUGAUAAACCAAUUUGGAGAUGGCAGAUGGAAGCUUAGUAAAGGAAGCAUGAUCAUUGCUCGUGGUAAAAAGGAAGGCUCUCUGUAUGUUAUGCAGGGAAAGAUAAACAAGGGAGAUAUCAAUGUAUCUCAAGGCAUGAGCAAAGAAUUGUGGCACAAACGACUUGGCCACAUGAGUGAGAAAGGUUUGGAGAUUCUUGCUAAGAAUCAUCUUCCAAACAUCAAGGGUCAACCACUUGAAUCCUGUGAAGAUUGUCUAGCAGGCAAACAACACAGAGUAUCUUUUCAAAGAUCGGAUGAUGCAAAAAGAAGAAAGCAUAUCCUCGAUCUUGUUCAUUCAGAUGUUUGCUCUACAUCUGAAAGGUCCCUUGGUGGUUCACAAUACUUUGUUACCUUCAUUGACGAUCACUCUAGAAAAGUGUGGGUGUAUCCAUUGAAGAAGAAAGAUCAAGUUCUUCAGGUUUUCAAAGAAUUUCAUGCCUCUGUAGAACGGGCAUCUGGAAGAAAACUGAAAUGUCUAAGGACAGAUAAUGGUGGAGAGUAUAUAGGCACAUUUGCAGCCUACUGUAAAUCUCAUGGAAUAAGACAUGAGAAGGUACCUCCUAAAACUCCUCAGAUGAAUGGAGUAGCUGAAAGGAUGAAUAGAACGAUUGCAGAGAAAGUCAGAAGCAUGCUUUCUCAAGCAAAACUUCCCAAAUUAUUUUGGGGUGAAGCAGUGAGAACUGCAGUUGAUUUGAUUAAUUUGUCUCCUUCAAGACCUUUAAAUGGAGAGAUACCAGAUGAAGUAUGGUAUGGAAAGAAAGCCUCCUAUGGUCAUUUGAGAGUCUUUGGAUGCAGGGCAUUUGUGCAUGUUCCAAAAGAUGAAAGAGCAAAGCUAGAUGCUAAGACGAAGGAGUGCAUAUACCUUGGUUCACCAAGAGAUGAACUUGGCUUUAGAUUAUGGGAUCCUGCUACUAAGAAGAUGGUUCGAAGCAGAGACGUGGUAUUCUAUGAAGAUCAGACGAUCCACGACAUUCAAUCUAAAAAGCCAAAGACCAUUGUGGUGCACAAUUCAGGGGGAGAGAUUCCUCAGAUGAAUUACGAUCAUGAUCAGCUAACAGAACCAAAUCAGAUGGAGGAGCCUGAUCAGAUAGAACAAAAUCAAGCAAUGCAUGAAGAGCAGAUGGCAUAUGAUGAUGUUGAUGUUGAGAUGGAACAAGAACCUCAAUUGAGAAGAUCAACGAGAUCUAGACAACCAUCAAAAAGAUACUUCUCAGGUGAAUAUGUAAAUUUCACUGAGGAAGGGGAACCUCAAAGCUUCAUGGAAGCUAUAGAGACAACCAAUAAGGAAAAAUGGUUACAAUCCAUGGAAGAAGAGAUGAAAUCCCUAAAGGAGAAUGAGACGUAUGACCUGGUAAAAUUACCAGAUGGAAAGAGGGCAUUGAAAAAUAAAUGGGUGUUCAAACUCAAGUCUGAAGAGAACAACCCAAACCCCAAGUACAAAGCACGAAUUGUUGUGAAGGGGUGCCAUCAAAAGAAAGGCAUUGAUUUUGAAGAAAUAUUCUCACCGGUGGUGAAGAUGACAUCCAUUAGAGCAAUCCUUGGUCUAGCUGCAAAACUAGACUUAGAGAUAGAACAACUUGAUGUUAAAACAGCAUUCUUGCAUGGAGACCUAGAGGAAGAAAUCUAUAUGGAGCAACCUAAAGGUUUCGUUGAACCAGGCAAAGAACACCUUGUGUGUCGCUUGAAGAAAAGUUUAUAUGGCUUAAAGCAGGCUCCAAGACAAUGGUACAAGAAGUUUGAUCUCUUCAUGACCCAACACAACUUCACAAAGACGUCAACAGACCAUUGUGUGUUUGUGAAGAACUAUGAAAAUGGAGAGUCCAUCAUACUUUUAUUGUAUGUUGAUGAUAUGCUUAUUGUUGGAAAAGAUAAGACAAAGAUAUCUGCUCUCAAGAAAGCAUUGAGCAAAUCUUUUGCUAUGAAGGAUUUGGGUGCAGUGAAGAAGAUUCUUGGAAUGAAGAUCAUUAGAGAUCGAUCAAAAAGAAUGUUGUGGAUGUCACAAGAAGAAUAUCUCAAGAAAGUUCUUGAAAGGUUCAACAUGCAUAAUGCAAAACCUGUGCAUGUUCCAUUACCUGGUCAUUUGAAACUCAGUAAGACACAAUGUCCUGAGAAUGAUCAAGAGAAAGAAGAAAUGAGCAAGGUGCCCUAUUCUUCAGCCGUGGGUAGCCUUAUGUACGCCAUGGUCUGCACGAGGCCAGACAUCGGUUAUGCUGUAGGAGUCGUGAGUAGAUUCCUAUCAAAUCCAGGAAAAGAACACUGGAGUGCUGUGAAAUGGAUACUGAGGUAUCUAAAAGGAACUGCCAAAAAGUGCUUAUGUUUUGGCAAUGGAAAUCAAAUGCUCGUUGGAUAUGUAGAUGCUGAUAUGGCCGGAGAUAUAGAUUCAAGAAAAUCUACAUCUGGAUAUUUGAUUACUUUUGCAGGGGGAGCUGUCUCAUGGCAAUCUCGACUACAAAAGUGCGUUGCUUUAAGUACCACAGAAGCAGAGUACAUCGCAAUCACUGAAGGCUGUAAGGAGAUGAUGUGGAUGAAGAAGUUCCUGCAAGAGUUAGGCCAGAAUCAAGAAAUUUAUGUUCUCUAUUGUGAUAGUCAAAGUGCAAUUCACCUCAGCAAGAAUUCGACAUACCAUUCAAGGUCAAAACACAUCGAUGUGAGGUAUCAUUGGAUUCGUGAUGUGUUGGAGAAUAAACUGCUGCAAAUAGAGAAAAUUCACACCAAUGACAACGGAGCAGAUAUGAUGACAAAAGCUCUACCAAAAGAGAAGAUAGAGUUUUGUAAACAAGCUGCAGGCUUGGCAGCAACCCCAAACUAAUCUAAGGAUAGUUUCCCUUUGGCUGGAGGGGGAGAAUUGUUGGUUUCCAGCCACAAUAGUAACAAUAAUGCAUCAAUGGGAAAUGUUGAAUUUUUCUCCACUAGCAUGCCUAUGAAUAAUAGCUUGCGGUGGUAAAAAUUCUACCAUGUCAGUAACAAAUUGACAAACUUGGCAAUUGGUAACUAUUGUCAAAGAUGGUGCAGCAAGGAUUGGAAAAUAAGAACCAAGCAUUUAAUGCACACGGUUCAAAACCCUCUAUAAAUAGAGAAGAGUUUCAGCAAUGAAACACACCACAACACAAUCCUCACUCACAUAGAGUUGAGAGAAAAAUAGAGAGUUCCUCAUAAGAGUGUGAGAGAAAAAUAUAGUGAGCCAAUUUGUGAGAGUUGUAUCUACAAAUUGAGAUACAUAGUUAGGUCCACCUGAGGGUGAAGAUUUGUAUUCCCAUUAUUAUUAUAGUGGAGAUUUAAGAGGCCUACGGGUCCCGUGGUUUUUCCUUACUCACAUUGAGAAGGUUUUCCACGCUAAAAUUUUGUUGUGUCAUUUUACGUUUCCGCUAAAGUGCCUAUUUUGAGUUCACGGAGGAGGGAAAUUAUGCAGGCAUUUCCCAACA
rnacentral:lncRNA from 1 species